UACGGGGGGGGGCAAGCGUUGUUCGGAAUUACUGGGCGUAAAGGGUUUGUAGGUGGCCCGCUAAGUCACACGUGAAAUCCCUCAGCUUAACUGGGGAACUGCGUGUGAGACUGGCAGGCUUGAGUGCAGGAGAGGAACGCGGAAUUCCAGGUGUAGCGGUGAAAUGCGUAGAUAUCUGGAGGAACACCGGUGGCGAAAGCGGCUCACUGGACCAUAACUGACGCUGAGGUGCGAAAGCUAGGGUAGCAAACGGG
rnacentral:rRNA from 1 species